rnacentral:rRNA from 1 species
AUUGACGCUGGCGGCAGGCCUAACACAUGCAAGUCGAACGAGUGGCGGACGGGUGAGUAAUGUCUGGGCAACUGCCUGAUGGAGGGGGAUACCUACUGGAAACGGUAGCUAAUACCGCAUACCAUCGGAUGUGCCCAGAUGGGAUUGGCUAGUAGGUGGGGUAACCGCUCACCUAGGCGACGAUCCCUAGCUGGUCUGAGAGGAUGACCAGCCACACUGGAAAUGAGACACGGUCCAGACUCCUACGGUAGGCAGCAGUGGGGAAUAGUGCACAAUGGGCGCAAGCCUGAUGCAGCCAUGCCGCGUGUAUGAAGAAGGCCUUCGGGUUGUAAAGUACUUUCAGCGGGGAGGCGUUACCCGCAGAAGAAGCACCGGCUAACUCCGUGCCAGUAGCCGCGGUAAUAC